rnacentral:rRNA from 1 species
GAUUGAACGCUGGCGGCAGGCCUAACACAUGCAAGUCGAGCGGUAGCACAGAGAGCUUGCUCUCGGGUGACGAGCGGCGGACGGGUGAGUAAUGUCUGGGAAACUGCCUGAUGGAGGGGGAUAACUACUGGAAACGGUAGCUAAUACCGCAUAAUGUCGCAAGACCAAAGUGGGGGACCUUCGGGCCUCAUGCCAUCAGAUGUGCCCAGAUGGGAUUAGCUAGUAGGUGGGGUAACGGCUCACCUAGGCGACGAUCCCUAGCUGGUCUGAGAGGAUGACCAGCCACACUGGAACUGAGACACGGUCCAGACUCCUACGGGAGGCAGCAGUGGGGAAUAUUGCACAAUGGGCGCAAGCCUGAUGCAGCCAUGCCGCGUGUGUGUAGAAGGCCUUCGGGUUGUAAAGCACUUUCAGCGGGGAGGAAGGCGGUGAGGUUAAUAACCUCAUCGAUUGACGUUACCCGCAGAAGAAGCACCGGCUAACUCCGUGCCAGCAGCCGCGGUAAUACGGAGGGUGCAAGCGUUAAUCGGAAUUACUGGGCGUAAAGCGCACGCAGGCGGUCUGUCAAGUCGGAUGUGAAAUCCCCGGGCUUAACCUGGGAACUGCAUUCGAAACUGGCAGGCUAGAGUCUUGUAGAGGGGGGUAGAAUUCCAGGUGUAGCGGUGAAAUGCGUAGAGAUCUGGAGGAAUACCGGUGGCGAAGGCGGCCCCCUGGACAAAGACUGACGCUCAGGUGCGAAAGCGUGGGGAGCAAACAGGAUUAGAUACCCUGGUAGUCCACGCCGUAAACGAUGUCGAUUUGGAGGUUGUGCCCUUGAGGCGUGGCUUCCGGAGCUAACGCGUUAAAUCGACCGCCUGGGGAGUACGGCCGCAAGGUUAAAACUCAAAUGAAUUGACGGGGGCCCGCACAAGCGGUGGAGCAUGUGGUUUAAUUCGAUGCAACGCGAAGAACCUUACCUGGUCUUGACAUCCACAGAACUUUCCAGAGAUGGAUUGGUGCCUUCGGGAACUGUGAGACAGGUGCUGCAUGGCUGUCGUCAGCUCGUGUUGUGAAAUGUUGGGUUAAGUCCCGCAACGAGCGCAACCCUUAUCCUUUGUUGCCAGCGGUCCGGCCGGGAACUCAAAGGAGACUGCCAGUGAUAAACUGGAGGAAGGUGGGGAUGACGUCAAGUCAUCAUGGCCCUUACGACCAGGGCUACACACGUGCUACAAUGGCAUAUACAAAGAGAAGCGACCUCGCGAGAGCAAGCGGACCUCAUAAAGUAUGUCGUAGUCCGGAUUGGAGUCUGCAACUCGACUCCAUGAAGUCGGAAUCGCUAGUAAUCGUAGAUCAGAAUGCUACGGUGAAUACGUUCCCGGGCCUUGUACACACCGCCCGUCACACCAUGGGAGUGGGUUGCAAAAGAAGUAGGUAGCUUAACCUUCGGGAGGGCGCUUACCACUUUGUGAUUCAUGACUGGGGUGAAGUCGUAACAAGG